rnacentral:rRNA from 1 species
UCAGGCCUAACACAUGCAAGUCGAACGGUAGAGGGGCAACCCUUGAGAGUGGCGAACGGGUGAGUAAUGCAUCGGAACGUGCCCAGUAGUGGGGGAUAGCCCGGCGAAAGCCGGAUUAAUACCGCAUGAGACCUGAGGGUGAAAGCGGGGGAUCGCAAGACCUCGCGCUAUUGGAGCGGCCGAUGUCAGAUUAGCUAGUUGGUGGGGUAAAGGCCUACCAAGGCGACGAUCUGUAGCUGGUCUGAGAGGACGACCAGCCACACUGGGACUGAGACACGGCCCAGACUCCUACGGGAGGCAGCAGUGGGGAAUUUUGGACAAUGGGCGCAAGCCUGAUCCAGCCAUGCCGCGUGCGGGAAGAAGGCCUUCGGGUUGUAAACCGCUUUUGUCAGGGAAGAAAUCUUCUGGGCUAAUACCCCGGGAGGAUGAC